rnacentral:rRNA from 1 species
CAUGCAAGUCGAACGGUAGCACAGAGAGCUUGCUCUCGGGUGACGAGUGGCGGACGGGUGAGUAAUGUCUGGGAAACUGCCUGAUGGAGGGGGAUAACUACUGGAAACGGUAGCUAAUACCGCAUAACGUCGCAAGACCAAAGAGGGGGACCUUCGGGCCUCUUGCCAUCAGAUGUGCCCAGAUGGGAUUAGCUAGUAGGUGGGGUAACGGCUCACCUAGGCGACGAUCCCUAGCUGGUCUGAGAGGAUGACCAGCCACACUGGAACUGAGACACGGUCCAGACUCCUACGGGAGGCAGCAGUGGGGAAUAUUGCACAAUGGGCGCAAGCCUGAUGCAGCCAUGCCGCGUGUAUGAAGAAGGCCUUCGGGUUGUAAAGUACUUUCAGCGGGGAGGAAGGUGAUGAGGUUAAUAACCUUGUCGAUUGACGUUACCCGCAGAAGAAGCACCGGCUAACUCCGUGCCAGCAGCCGCGGUAAUACGGAGGGUGCAAGCGUUAAUCGGAAUUACUGGGCGUAAAGCGCACGCAGGCGGUCUGUCAAGUCGGAUGUGAAAUCCCCGGGCUCAACCUGGGAACUGCAUUCGAAACUGGCAGGCUGGAGUCUUGUAGAGGGGGGGUAGAAUUCCAGGUGUAGCGGUGAAAUGCGUAGAGAUCUGGAGGAAUACCGGUGGCGAAGGCGGCCCCCUGGACAAAGACUGACGCUCAGGUGCGAAAGCGUGGGGAGCAAACAGGAUUAGAUACCCUGGUAGUCCACGCUGUAAACGAUGUCGACUUGGAAGGUUGUUCCCUUGAAGGAGUGGCUUUCCGGAGCUAACGCGUUAAGUCGACCGCCUGGGGGAGUACGGCCGCAAGGUUAAAACUCAAAUGAAUUGACGGGGGCCCGCACAAGCGGUGGAGCAUGGGGGUUUAAUUCGAUGCAACGCGAAAAACCUUACCUACUCUUGACAUCCACGGAACUUAGCAGAGAUGCUUUGGUGCCUUCGGGAACUCUGAGACAGGUGCUGCAUGGCUGUCGUCAGCUCGUGUUGUGAAAUGUUGGGUUAAGUCCCGCAACGAGCGCAACCCUUAUCCUUUGUUGCCAGCGAUUCGGUCGGGAACUCAAAGGAAACUGCCAUUGAUAACCUGGAGGAAAGGUGGGGGAUGACGUCAAGUCAUCAUGGCCCUUACAAGUAGGGGUACCACCGUGCUACAAUGGCAUUUUCAAAAAAAAACGACCUCCCCGAAGCAACCGGACCUCCUAAAGUAUGUCUUAUUCCGGGAUGGGAGUUCGCACUCCACCCCUUGAAGUCGGAAUCGCUAGUAAUCGUGGAUCAGAAUGCCACGGUGAAUACGUUCCCGGGCCUUGUACACACCGCCCGUCACACCAUGGGAGUGGGUUGCAAAAGAAGUAGGUAGCUUAACCUUCGGGAGGGCGCUUACCCACUUUGUAUU